AUCGCUUCUCGGCCUUUUGGCUAAGAUCAAGUGUAGUAUCUGUUCUUAUCAGUUUAAUAUAAUGGUAGACCCAGUAGGCAGGUAAAACGUGGGGCAAGACUUCCUGUAUGCUUACAGGAAGUGAAGCUCC
ensembl:snRNA U2 U2 spliceosomal RNA